AAAUUUAAGAUUAUUUAUUAUAUUUUUUUUUAUAUUUUUAUUAAUUAAAAUAAUAUUAUAAAUUUAAUUGUUUUAGUAUUUUUUAAAGAAAAAAUUUUGUUAAUUAUAGUUAAUUAAGUAUUGUGAAAGAUUUUUGAAAAAUUUUGAAAAUUAAUUUAUUUAAAAGUAAAAUUUAUUUUUUGUACCUUGUGUAUCAGGGUUUAUUAAUUAAAAAUUAUUUAAUAUAUUUUUCUCGAAAUUAAAAGAUCUAUAUAAUUAUUAUUUUUAUUGUAAUAAAAAUAUUUUAAAUAAUUAUAUUGAAAUGAAACGUUAUUCGUUUUUAAUGAUAUCUAGUUUUUUAAUAAAUGAAUUUAAUUCAGAUAUUAUAUUUAUUAUAAAUUUUAUUAAAAAUUUAAUAAUUUUAAUAUUAAUAUUUUAAGGGAUAAGCUUUAAAAUUUAAAUUUAUAAAUAAAAUAUAAUAUUUAAAAUUUAUAGUCUUAGAAAUAGAUUUUAUUUAAAAAAUGUUAUAAUUUAAUUUUAUUUUUUUUAUGAUUUUAUAUUAUUUUAAUUAUUUAUUAAAAUAUUUUAUUUAAUAACUUAUUAAAUUUAAUAAUGAUAAAAUUAGUAAAUAUAUUUUGUUAAUUUAAUAAAAUUUUAAUUUGUAAGGUUAAAUUAAGGAAUUCGGCAAAUUUUAUACUCGCCUGUUUAACAAAAACAUGUCUUUUUGAUAUUAAUUUAAAGUCUAAUCUGCUCAAUGAAAAUUUUAAAUGGCCGCAGUAUUUUGACUGUGCAAAGGUAGCAUAAUAAUUUGUCUUUUAAUUAAAGGCUGGAAUGAAUGAUUGGACGAGGUAUAAUCUGUCUCUAUUUAAUUAGUUAUUGAAUUUAAUUUUUAAGUUAAAAAGCUUAAAUUUUUUUAGAGGACGAGAAGACCCUAUAGAGUUUUAUAUUUAUUUUAUAUAUUUUAAAUUAAUUAUAUUUUAAUAUUUUUAAUAAUAUUUUAUUGGGGCGAUAGAAAAAUUUAAAAAACUUUUUUAUAAAAUUUAUACAUUUAUAUAUGAUUUUUUGAUCCUAUAUUUUAGAUUAGUAGAUAAAAUUACCUUAGGGAUAACAGCGUUAUUUUUUUUAGAGUUCUUAUCGAUAAGAAAGAUUGCGACCUCGAUGUUGGAUUAAAAUUAAUUUUAGGUGUAGAAGCUUAAGUUUUAGGUCUGUUCGACCUUUGAAAUUUUACAUGAUCUGAGUUCAAACCGGUGUAAGCCAGGUUGGUUUCUAUCCUUAAAUAAAUAAAAAUUUUUAGUACGAAAGGACCAAAAUUUUAAAAAAAUUUUUUUUAAUAUUGAAUAUUAAUAAAUAUUUUUAA
rnacentral:rRNA from 1 species